UAAUAUAUUUGUCAUCAAAGAGAAUUCUACAAGUGAAACUCAGUGUAAUCUUUCUAUAACACUACUGAGAGAGGGAGUAGAAAGAUGUUUCUAGGUUGUGUCUUAACAAGUAAUAUACUUAAUUAUUCAAGACUCAUCCCAUGAAAAAUCUGAAAUGGUGAAUUUUUAGUAAGAAAAAAAUGAAAGAAGAAAACGAGGAAAGAAGAAAUGAAGAAACCAACAUCAAUUAAAUCUCCAAUAGAUAAUCAAACAAAAGGAGAUUUAUAAUUCACAGAAAAAUGUAAUGGCAAAUGUAUUAAUCAAAGCACCUUUAGUAUCUCUAGUUAUCAGAUAAAUUAGUACUCUUCUGAUGGUGGGAGUGAGCAUUGGCACAACCUUAAUGGAAAGAGAUUUAUUAACAUGCAUUGUGAAUUUUAAAAUAUUUAUACCCCUCACUCAGUAUAAUUCUAUUUCCAAAAGUCUAUCCAAAAGAAAAAAAUAUAUAUACAAGCAUCAUUUAUAAAAUUAUCCCUUAUUGUCUAUCUUAACAUAGGGAAAUUUGCCAAAAUAAGACAUUGAUAAAAUAAAUUAUGGGGAAAGAAGAAAGGAAUUAUUCAGCCACCAAGUAUUAUGUUUUUGUGUGAUAUGUGAAUUCCUAUCAUAUAAUAUUAAGGGCAAAACAAUGUCACUUGUACAUACAUUUUGAUAACAAAAUAUAACGAGAAAAAAAAGGACUAAGCAUCAAAUUUUAAUUAUGGUUAUAUCUAGGUGGUAACUAUUUGGGUGAUUAUUUUCUCAUUUUUAAAGAAUUCUCCAUACUUUCUAAUUUUCUAUAUCCAGUAUUUAUUUAUCAUAAGAAGGAAGUUAUUUUUCAAAUAGAAAAUUGUGAAAAUUAUGGGGGGAAAAAGAUGACAUGUAUUCCUCAUUUGGCUUUUUUUUUUUUCCUCAUUUGGCUUUGAAACUACUUCAGUUUAAAAACAAACAACUACUUUGUUGUAAGGCAGAAGCUAGCACACCAUUGUAGAGCAAUUAUACCCCAAUAAAGAUGUUAAAAACAAACAAACAAACAAAAAAAAAACAAACAACUGCAAAAGUAACAGAGGGGGACAUUUUGCAGGAGACUUCCCAUUAACUACUAUAUAAAAUGAAGAUCUUCAAAUUAUGUUAGAAAACACGCUAUCUGCUAAUCUGUUUUAUUUUCCUCUAGAAAGAGAUAAAGACAAAAUUUAAGCCAAAGUAAGUUUAGCUCCAAAGCAAAUGCCCUUAUGACAGGAUUAUGCGUUUGCUUAGGCCAGGCAAAUAAGAAUUGUGUAUAUACGUAGUCUUCUCUUGGUAUCCGGGUGAGAUCAGUUCCAGAACUCCCCCACUUUCCUCCCCCAUGGAAACCAAAAUCCACAGAUGCUCAAGUCCCUUAUGUAAUUGUCAUAGUAUUUGCAUAUAACCUAUCCACAUCCUCCUGAUAUUUUAAAUUAUCUCUUUAUUACUUAUAAUAUGUAAGUAUUAUAAUGCAAUGUAAAUGCUAUAUAAAUGGUUGUAAAUAUAGUGUAAAUGCUAUGUAAAUAGUUGUAACACAUGGAAAAUUCAAGUUUUGCUUUUUGGAACUUUCUGAAAUUAUUUUUCUGAAUAUUUUCUAUGUGGAGCUCACAGAUACGAAGCGCUUAAUGUCUACUGUGGGGUUCUGUAAAGCAGAAUAGUCACUUCUCUCUCUUCUCUGUGCUUUCAACACCACUUCCCCUACUUCCUUUUUUUCUUUUCUCUUUCUUUGUCAAAUUGCUCCAAUUCUACAUUUUGAAUAGAUUUUUAUAUCAAAUUAACAUAUAAGAGAGAUGGCAAAUCUCACCCUGUAGGAAAUGGAAGGAUUUUUCAGACUAUGCUUUCACUAUUCUGUUACAGAAAAUUCCAUGAGCUCCUCUCUUGGAUUUAUCAUAAUCUCUGUUGACUAUAUGUAUUAACAUAAUUAAUUUAUACCAUAAUUAAUAUGAUUAACUAUAUAUGAAUUAGGUAGUACAUAUGUAAUUUUAUAUUAAUGUAAUAUAUUUAUAUAUAACUAAUAUUGAUUAAUAUAGCCAAAUUCUGGUGAAACUCUAUUAUAAUAUGGUAGUGAUAAUAAUACCACCACAAUAAUUAUUGUUACUAUUACAACUUGUUUUGAGCACCUAUUAUGUGCCAAGUAAAGUAUCAGACAUGAUUGUGAUUAUCUCAUUUUAUUCUCAAAAUAAUCCCAAGGGAUAAGAAAUAUCAUUCCAAUUUUAUUUCCAAUGAAACCUGGUCUUGAGUUCAAGUCAUUUGCCUGAGGUCAAAGAGGUAGUGAUGGAGGCAGGAUCUGAACUCAGGUUGUCUGACUCUAAAGGAAAUGCUCUGAAUCGUCAUGCUCUUAACCACUCAGUCCAUUCAGAAUAGACAUACUAGGGUUCUCUGCUAAGCACCUGGUUAGUGUUACCUGUGGCCUAUACACCACAGCGAUCAUAAUCACCAUUAAAAUCAAUAUAGACUUUUAGAACCCACCCCAGCCAAACCGGAUGAGCAUCUAUGGGGGUGUGGCCAGGGAUCUGCAUUUUAAACCCUCAUUUCAAGGGAUUCAUGUGCAUUCCCAACCUGUGAAAGACAGACUGACUGGAUUCCUUGAGAGGAGAAAAUGUUUCAUUCUCACUUUUGUCUCUCUGAGACCCAGCAUGAAGGUUUUGAGAAAUGAAGUAUUAUUGCCUGCCAUAUCAGUAAACAAAGGAUGUCACAGUCAUCAGCGACUGCAGCCCUUCAAUGGCAAGCAGGGAAACAUCCUGACCCUGCCCACCUGUGAAUGGCUGCAGGAAAGAAGAAAUUAACACAUCCCCUCCCUGAGUCUGGUGAAACCAGGAGAUAUUAUGCAAGACUUAUGGCCUUUUUACUUUACCUGCUCACCUCCCCCAUCUCUGUUCUAUAAAAGAAGCUAGCAUCCAGACCCUGGUAAGAUGGUUCUCUAGGACUCUAGUCUACCAUCUUCUCAGAUGCCUGGCUUUCUGAAUAAAGUCGCUGUUCCUUGCCUCAAUACCUUGGCUCCCGAUUUAUUGGCCUGUCGUGUGGCGAGCAGUGAGCUUGGACUCUGUAACAUGUUUACCUGCUCUGCCUGAUCCGAGCCUCACAAUAUUUAUUAUCAUUGUUGGGUAAAUCCACCUGAUUCCGGCACUUCUACUUAAUGAUACUCCAACAAUCCUCUAAUCUCUUUGACCUGUUUCUAGGAUAGCUUCCUGAUGAAUGCAUCCUACAUUGACCUCCUGCUGAUUCACACUAAUGUAUAUAUGGAUGUUUGACUAAGAAGAGAGAAGACGUCGUAAAUUCCAGGGGACUUUUAGUCCUUAAAGAGGAGACCCUUAUCUUCAAGAACCCAGACUAAA